UACGUAGGAGGCAAGCGUUGUCCGGAAUUAUUGGGCGUAAAGAGCUCGUAGGCGGCUUAGUAAGUCGGCGGUGAAAUACCGAGGCUCAACCUCGGCACUGCCGUCGAUACUGCUAUGGCUAGAGUUUGGGAGAGGGAUGCGGAAUUCCAGGUGUAGCGGUGAAAUGCGUAGAUAUCUGGAGGAACACCGGUGGCGAAGGCGGCAUCCUGGACCAACACUGACGCUGAGUGAGCGAAAGCCAGGGGAGCAAAGCGGG
rnacentral:rRNA from 1 species